rnacentral:tRNA from 1 species
GCGCCUGUAGUUUAGUUGGAUAAAAUGCGGGAUUCCGAUUCCCGAGACCGCAGGUUCAAGUCCUGUCAGGCGUGCCA